UCCAGAACUAGUUUCAGCUGGUCACAUGUGGACACCACCUUGCGGCGCGGCCGCCCCUGACGUCACGCCCAGCUGACGACAAAAGGCCAUUCAUGAUUUUAUACCUCUUUGUCAUGUCAUCUCUCAGUUGACUCUUCCAAGGUAAGGAGUCUCAGCCUUUCUGUCCCUCUAAUAGGGAAGUGUUUCCAUGCUCUGAUCAUCUUUGUUGCCCUUCUCAGUACCUUUUCUAGUUCUCCUAUAUUCUUUUAGAGAUGGAACAGCCAGAACUGCACACAGUAUUCAAGAUGUUGGCACACCACAGUUGCAUAUAAUGGCAUAGUAAAGUCUUUUGUUUUCAGUUCCUUUCCAUAGCAUUCCUGAUAUUUUAUUUGCCUUUUGGACAACUAUUGCUCAUUGAACCAGUGUCUUUGAACCUUAGCGACUCCAUUGAACCACAAUGACUUCAAGAUCUCUUUCUUGAGAAGUAAUGGCCCACCACUGUGUAUGUAUUGUUGGGAUUAUUUUUUCUUAUGUGCAUUAUUUUGCACGUAUCAGUGAUAAACGUCAUCUGUCAGCUUGCUUGGUUUUGUGAGAGCUUUCUCAGCUCAUCCCCACCAGCUUUUGAUUUGUCUAUGUGGGAUAAUUUUGUAUCAUCUGCAGAUUUAGCCACUUCACUACCUACUUCUUUUUCCAGAUCAUUUCUGCGUAUGUUGAACAGGUCCCAGCGCAGAUCCCUCUGGGCCCCCCACUCCAUUAUGAAAAAUAAACAUUUAAUCCUACUCUCAAAGACAUCCUCAAAGAAUUCCAACAGAUGCCAUCAGCCUCUCUCCAUCCUCACCCACCCUGCCUCAUCUUUGUGCUGCUUUCUCUUGGACUGGGGCCCCAGCCCACGCUGGUUGGUGAUGCACAUUCUUUCCCCUCCCCAUGAUGUUCUCCUCCAGCCUUUUCUUGCAUGGAUGCAGUACCGUCUCAAGGCCAAAAUGACCCCUAUGGCCUUCCACGCUGCUGGCAGCCCAUACCUCCCCACUGCUUAGGACCCUCACACCAACAUAACCAAAAAGCCAUUGAGGAGAAAGCAAGUACGGUAACAGCAAUCAUUUCCCCCUCCCAGGAAGAGGGGAAUGCAGGGGCCAAACCACCUCUUCUGAUGAGUUGCUCAAGAAGACAGCAGAUCUGGUGUCAUGUCAAAGGAAUGGGCUUGUGGUGGGGAACAAAGCCAUUUUUCCACCAUCUACUCUGGAAGGAUGGUGCAGGGAGAAUUGAGCAGCCAUGGGUUUUAUGAGCUGCUUCAGAAUCAGAGAUCUCCAAGAGAUUCCUGCGGUUAACUCUGACAUUGCUGGUGGUUUCUUGGAUGACUGUCUGGGAGUCCAUUCAGCAAACAUGUGAAGGGCAGAAGUCCGUGGGAAGAAUGGGGAGGAUUAUUUAGGGUGGCCACAGCGUGAUGGCCUGGCCUUAAACAAAGGAAUGUCAUUAAACUAGACAAGGGAAACUUCCUGACAGCCAGAGGGGUGAGGUGGAAAGACCCAUUGCUGGAGAUGCUUAAAAUAAGGCUGGACAAAGCCUUCAAGGGACAAACUUCAAAAGUUCAACAAAAGUAAGGCAAUUCCUAGGCAAGUGGAUUCUGUUAAUCUCAAGACAGUUUUGGCUCAAGAGCAUUUUGUAUGUAUGGUCAGGAACUGCGAUGUCACAAGCCUAUCAUGAGUACCUCAAUGACAGGGCUGGCUCUCGAGACAGGAGCUGCUAUUUUCACUCACCUCUCAGGACUUUGCAGUGUGAAGAUGGGUGGUAUCAGGAGCCUGGAAGAUUUCAUACUGGAUCUGCCCAAGGUACUAAGAAUCCCAAGGUCAACAGCAUCCUUUUGGUCUUCUCUUACCUCUCCCCUCUGUUCCUACCCCUCCUCGGUUCUCUCCUGUUCAACCCCCGCCCACUCCCCAUUGUUCUUUUGGGUGGAGACCAGAGUGCGGAAAGGUGACUAGGGAGCAGAGAGCUAAUUUGUGGGUAUCGUUUUCUAACUGCCUGUUAGGCUUGCCCCUUCUGAGCACUUUGAGAAGGGAUGCAGGGAGACAUCACAUCCUCCUUCAGCUCAGAGACAGAAGUGGAGCUGUAUGUUUGCAAAAAAGAAAAGCAGCCUCAUGCUGAGGGAGCAGGGCAGGGACAUAAACCCAGGUGCAUUUCUUCAGCUGUUUGCAUAUGGCAUCUUUAUCUCAAAACUCACACAAAAGACAAUCCACUGCAUGCAGACUCAGAUUUUAAGAUAUCCUAUAAGAGCAUGGCCCUCACCCAACAAGGGAAUAAUCCUGCCAGAGAGUAGGGGUACCUCUUCAUGAGUAUGGCACUGACUCUACAAGAAGGUGAUUUCCCCGCUGCCCUUUGUUUAUAGCUGGACUGCUGAAAACAGGUUGUGGUGUGGAUAGUAAUUAAUUUCCCCUAGUGCUCUGUCAGAGCCCAAGCCGGAUCAUUUGGAAGUUGGAAGACCUCUUAAUUUAGGCAGGACUGCAGUAGGGUGGGGUUGCAUUCUGGGCUAUUGUCUUGGGAGUUUUUUUUCAAUUAUGUAUUAUUUUACUUUAACAUUUUUAUUUGUCUUCAUACUGUAUCUGGUUUUUAUUGUAAGCUGUCCUGAGCCUCUUUUGGGGAAGGGAGUGUGCACAUCUAAUAAAUAAUAUUAAUUUGGAGGCCA